GAGUUUGAUCGUGGCUCAGAUUGAACGCUGGCGGCAUGCCUUACACAUGCAAGUCGAACGACAGCACGGGAGCUUGCUCCUGGUGGGCGAGUGGCGAACGGGUGAGUAAUGCAUCGGAACGUAUCCUGGAGUGGGGGAUAACGUAGCGAAAGUUACGCUAAUACCGCAUAUUCUGUGAGCAGGAAAGCGGGGGACCGUUCGGGCCGUCGCGCUCUUGGAGCGGCC
rnacentral:rRNA from 1 species